GUACUGAUGAAUAGUGCAAAACUAGGACGAAACAGCUGUCCAGUAC
rnacentral:hammerhead_ribozyme from 1 species